GUGAGGAAUAUUGGACAAUGGAGGAAACUCUGAUCAAGCCAUGCCGCGUGAGUGAUGAAGGCCUUCGGGUUGUAAAGCUCUUUCGGGUGUGAAAAUGAUGAUGGUAACACCAGAAGAAGCCCCGGCUAACUCCGUGCAAGCAGCCGCGGUAAUACGGAGGGGGCGAGCGUUGUUCGGAAUCACUGGGCGUAAAGCGUGCGUAGGCGGUUAUACAAGUCAGGCGUGAAAUCCCAGGGCUCAACCUUGGAAUUGCUUUUGAGACUGUAUGACUAGAGAUCUAGAGAGGUUGAGGGAAUUCCGAGUGUAGAGGUGAAAUUCGCAGAUAUUCGGAGGAACACCAGUGGCGUAGGCGCCCAACUGGCUAGAUACUGACGCUGAGGCACGAAAGCGUGGGGAGCAAACAGGAUUAGAUACCCGAGUAGUCC
rnacentral:rRNA from 1 species